rnacentral:lncRNA from 1 species
UAAAUGAGUGGGACGUUGGAUAUUAGAGAGUGAGAAAGAUGAUUUUUAAGACCACCAACCCCUGCCUGACACGUGGCAGGGGAGCAUUUAAUUAAUUAAUUAAAAAAAAAAUCACUUCUCCUUCAUCCUUGGAACACUCUUACAGUAACAACAACAUAUUUUCUUCAUUUUCUUUUUAUAAAACAACCAUCUUUGCUCUUUUCUUUCUUGAAAAACAAAACAAAAUUUAUAUCUAUUUCAAGCCCCACUCAUCAUGGUGAAUAAAAAACAGCAUGAAGAUUCAACAAAAACAAAACUUGAUUGCUUCUAAGACCUCUCUCUCUCUCACUUGGUUUUAAUGGGAACAGCAUGAUUUUUUUAAAAAAAAAAAUUUCAAAGUAACAAACUCUCAUAUCAAAGCAAAAGCAAAAGUUUAUGAAAGCAAAACAAUGAAAAGGAAGAGAACGACUACCAAGUCAAAGCUCGUUUUCGCAAGUGGAGACGGAAUGGCAAGUUUUUCAGCGAUGUCGUAAAAUGGCGAUGACGUGUUUGAACCGUCGGUUUCACUAUAUUUCGUGGUGAUGGAGUUGUUGUUGUUUUAUGAAGCUUGAAGUUUUUAGAGUGAUGAUGUUUUUGUUUAUGAAGUUUCUUUUUUUAGUUUUUUUUUAGUGAUAAGGUGUGGUGAGGGAAGAGAAGAUAUGAUGAUAGUUAUAUGGCGUUAAAGGGUGAAGAGAAAGAAAAGAGGUUUAAGUUUUUAUAUAUUUUUUUAAUUUUUUUGGAGUGAGAGUUGUGAGAGAUGUGAGAGAUGUGAGGUGUGAGUGAAAGAGAUGAUGAUGAACAUUGGUGUAGCAGAAGAAAUUGAUGUGAAGGAGGAAGAAAAGAAAAAAUGCACGUGAGGGAAAAGGAGAAAGAUGGGGAAAUGUUAUGAAUAGUAGAGAAAGAGUGAGUUUUUUUGAGGAAAGAAAUUUAAUAUAUUUAAUGUUAGAUAUUUUUUUUGUGUGUAAGUGUGGAUGUGAAGAAAAGAGGAAAGAGAGAAAGGAAGAAAAAAGAAUACUGAGAGUGAGAGGAAAAAGAAGAAACGUGGAGAGAGAAAAGAAGGAAAGAGAGAAAAAAAAAGAAAUAAAAAAGGAAAAGAAGUUGUGAGAGAAAAAAAAAAGAAAAAAAAAAAA